rnacentral:lncRNA from 12 species
GGGACAGUCUGAUUAAUGAACCCACAGAACUUCCUUUCCUACAGGCAUGACCGCUUGUGCAGGGAGGCUGAGUGUGGUUGGGAGGCUGGUAUUUCAUGACGAUGUGGUGAGACUAGAGUAUCUCAUUAGCUCCUGGGGGAAUGUGUCAUAAGCUACAUUCUGUUUAUUCUUGGAGAUUCUGUAAGCUUCCUGGGACCUGGUGACCAGCCCCGGUAGAGUAGCACCUUUACAAACACCUUCGUCUGAGGAACACGUGUGGACCAGCCCCGAUCCCAACGUGUGCACCUUCCCUGUGAUAAGACCUCACCCCCCACAACUGUUCUGUGGAGGCAUCAAAACCCAUGGAGGAGGGUGGGUGGUGAUGAGGGAUGUUUCUCAGCUUGCUGGGUUUGGUUUCCUUAGGCAGUACCAUUCCUUAUCUAAACACCGAAGCUUUUUUUAGACCUCCGUUACCUACCCUGCUUUUUAGAGUCCAACUUACAUAAGAGAUGGCAUUUAUACAGCAAGGUCCACACGUCCCACUGCACAGAGGAGGCUGCUGUCGCCGUCACAGAUGAGGCUCAGAGAGGGUGUCUCAUGUCCACGGUGGCUCAGUGUGGAGCAGGAACCCCUGCAGGGCCAUCUCUCUGUCACCUUGAGAAAGGAUGCCUGCCUCAGGGCACAGGGGAUAUUAUGUCACCUGGGCCCGUUUCAGUUCUUACUGAGGGUCUCAGAAAGAAUCCAGCCAUCAAGAGGUGACUGGGGCAGGCCUUUUGGAUGGGGCGUCCUGGCAUGUGCGUGUUUUGGAGCAAGUCCUCGGGCUCAUUCAUUCAAUCGUUCUGUGCAUCAGGACAAAAGGGCUGCUGUGGGGAUCCACAGGGCUCACCUGGCACAGAGCUGGUGCUCAAGACACCCACCUGCGCUGACAGCUCACGGCUCACUGUCCUGCUGCCUCCUCUUCUCGGCCUGUCCUGCGAUGGUCCCCGGCAAACAACAGCACCUGAGCCGCUGUUUCCAGAAGGUGCCUUCCAUCCUCCCACCAACAGCUCGGGCGGCUCCAAAGUCACAGGGAAGGGCCCCCCACCAUCCAACCACUGACAUAGACUCCAGAGAAAACAGCACUGCCGCUUGUUUCUUGUCUUCGACCAGGGCUUUGACCAUUGCGAUCACAUCCCCAUUGUGCCCCAGAGAGGCAGGUCCGAGGACCCGGAGCACCGCGGAGGUGACAGGGAAGGCAGAGCUGACGCGUGCGCGUGCGGGGAAUGAUUGUGGCAGCGCUGUGCCAAGCCAAGGCGUGUUCCCUGUGUCGUGCCCACGGCAGGCUGACGGAAAGAACGCGGACCGCACUCCUCGGCAGAGAGAACAGAGGCAGGGAAAAGAAAAGGAAAAGGUGAGGGGACUUGCCAGCCUUCCCUGGGGUAGGAAGCGGUGGCGCCGGGACCCCAGCCAGGUGGUCUUCCAGUCUUCCCAAAUCCUGACGUCAUAG